CAAGAAGCAGAGAUAUGAAAACCCCUUAAAAGGUCAUUCAUUGGAUUCAUGGAAAAUCUGAGAUGGGAUCAUAAAUGGCCACAGCAACAAAGAAAACUGAAUGAAGAAUUUGUUGAUAUCAGUGCAGUGUCCGCCAGAGAAAGAUAUUUUUUCUUGUCCUAUUUAAAUUCUGUGAAGUCCUAUUCAAUUGUGUGCCCUCGCGCUACUAUGCACACCUCCAACUAAUACAGCCUCUGCCUAGUUCUCCCUAGCUCUCU